ACUGAACGCUGGCGGCAUGCUUUACACAUGCAAGUCGAACGGUAACAGGUUAAGCUGACGAGUGGCGAACGGGUGAGUAAUGCAUCGGAACGUGCCAGAUCGUGGGGGAUAACGCAGCGAAAGCUGCGCUAAUACCGCAUACGAUCUGAGGAUGAAAGCGGGGGACCGUAAGGCCUCGCGCGAUAGGAGCGGCCGAUGUCAGAUUAGGAAGUUGGUGGGGUAAAGGCUCACCAAGCCAACGAUCUGUAGCUGGUCUGAGAGGAGGACCAGCCACACUGGGACUGAGACACGGCCCAGACUCCUACGGGAGGCAGCGGUGGGGAAUUUUGGACAAUGGGCGAAAGCCUGAUCCAGCAAUGCCGCGUGCAGGAAGAAGGCCUUCGGGUUGUAAACUGCUUUUGUACGGAGCGAAAAGGUUCUCUCUAAUACAGAGGGCUCAUGACGGUACCGUAAGAAUAAGCACCGGCUAACUACGUGCCAGCCGCCGCCGUAA
rnacentral:rRNA from 1 species